rnacentral:rRNA from 1 species
GACGAACGCUGGCGGCGUGCUUAACACAUGCAAGUCGAGCGAGGCCCAUCCUUCGGGGUGGUGCCCUAGCGGCGAACGGGUGAGUAACACGUGGGCAACCUGCCCUCAGCUCUGGGAUAACUCCAAGAAAUUGGUGCUAAUACCGGAUGUGACCGCUGACCGCAUGGUCUGGUGGUGGAAAGAUUCAUCGGCUGAGGAUGGGCCCGCGGCCUAUCAGCUUGUUGGUGGGGUAAUGGCCCACCAAGGCGACGACGGGUAGCCGGCCUGAGAGGGUGACCGGCCACACUGGGACUGAGACACGGCCCAGACUCCUACGGGAGGCAGCAUUGGGGAAUAUUGCGCAAUGGGCGAAAGCCUGACGCAGCGACGCCGCGUGAGGGAUGACGGCCUUCGGGUUGUAAACCUCUUUCAGUAGGGACGAAGCGAAAGUGACGGUACCUACAGAAGAAGCACCGGCCAACUACGUG